rnacentral:lncRNA from 1 species
GUGCCGGCCAGGCUAGACCCCCCAUCCCGCGGCAGGGCGAGCAGCUCCUCCACCUCCUCUUCCUUCUCCACCGAGCCCUAUUGCAAUGAUGGCGCACCCCCGCCACACGCCUGGGUCUGCCCGACGCCCCCCACCGAUAGCACCCACCAGCACGCAGCACCCACCGCCCAUGGCUACACUGGCUACCCCAGCACAGCUCCCCCAGCGAUGCCCCGUGUGCCCACCCCAGUGACGUCCCACCCGCGGGUACCUGUGUGUGCAGCAGACCCCGAUCCCGCCGACAGCUCCAGCACCUCCUCGGGGGAGUGGUACGAGAACGUGCAGGGCACGGAGCCGCCCGGGGACCCGUCCCCACGCCCCGGCUGGCCGGCUCCAUCCUGCCCCUCGGGGGGACACACGCGGGACCCCGACUCCUCUGAGGGCAGCGACUACGAUGACAUCCAGGGCUCUGCCUACUGAGCCUGCCCAACCGCCGCAGACAGAGGGGCAUGGCGGGGGGGGGGCCCUGGCACUGUGUGCAGCCAAGGAUCCGCCAUCCUGCUGCCGACGUCUCCUCUGGACUUUCUCCGGCCGUUUCCUCCAUGCCACCGGUCCCGGUGGCACCCUGGGGAUGUUCGGCGCAGGCGAGCCGUGCCGGGCUGCGUGAUGCAAUUAAAAGCUUUUCUCAG